AUAACCCCAUUUCAGAACCCUAAAAAAUCACUUUUCAGCCACUCCCCAAAAUUGCGCCGCAACUCUUCUCUCCCUCUGCUGUUCCAACUCCUCUACUCCGAUGGCGUCGAAGCAAAGGAGUCCUCCAACAACACCGCACCGCCAAAUUCGUUUACAAAUCGCUAUCCUCCCCCUUUUGCUUGCUGUUGUUCGUGAUUUGCAGGUGCGCGCGAAGGGCUGAACGUGAGCGACGUGGAGGUUGCCGAACGUGGGGGCAACGUGCGGCACCCAAACUGCUGUUAGUCACUGCUUAGGGUUAGGCUAGGAUUUGGGCUUUAAACUUAAUUGGGCUGGGUCAAAAAUUGGAUAUUACAAUAUGCAUGCAUGUUUUAAAGCUGAUGAACAUAUAUAUUUUAUACAAAGAAAUAUGUAUAUAUACUAUAUAAAAAUGCGUAUAUAAGUUUAGAAAUAAUUAUAAAAAAUGAUAGUAAAUAAUAUGAUAAUAAUAAAUAAUGGUACAAUGAUAAUAGCAUAAAAAAUAAUAAUAAAAUAACUGAUAAAUGAACUAAAUUGAAUUAAAACAGAAAAAAGCGGGGCAAAUUUGAAAUAAAAUUAAAAAAAACUAAUUUGAAUACGCGCCUAACAAUGGAGGACUAAAAGCAAAAUUAAUCCCGUCCAUAAAAUGUUGCGCAGUGACGGACUGAAUUGAGACAGAAACAAAAUGUGAGGCUAAAAUUAAAAGAGAUAAAAAUGAAUUUAAUUGAAGUAGGAGGGACCCAUAGCGCAAAUUCCCCAUUCGGGCCAGAACGCGCGGAUCCUCCCCUCCGGGUCGGGUCGACGCGCGGAUCUGGCCCUUUCAAAACGGUGUCGUUUCCGUCAGUUAUUUAAAUGAAAAUUCUCUUAAAAAAAUAAAAAGAAAAAAACAACCCUCAUAAAAAACAAAAAAAAAAGGAGAGCAAAUGCUCUGCUAGGGUUUUUGAACCCAUUUGUGCGUCGCCGCCACUAGGCCGCCCCUUGGCCUCCGACGACACCCCAACCUCCGAUUGUGACGGAGGGGGGACACUGCGACGGCACCAGGUACAAGGCGAGGCGCGCGUGGAGCGAGAUUCAGCGU